UGGAUAACAUAUACAACUUACAAGUCCAAUGAGAUUCACAACAAAUGGUAUCUUACUCUUCUUUCUCUCACCAUGAGAGCAUGAGCAACCUCUUUUUGUGGGCUACUAUCCAUUUCAUGUGUUAUUGAAGGAGAAUUACAAUACUGGCAAAUUAAUCGUUCAUGGCACACCACUCUUCUUAGUUCUUAUACAGAUCACAAGCACUACCAACUCCUCAUUUCAAAAUAAUCUAUGUUGUUUUCUACCGCGGUCGCCAAGUGUCAAUCAUAAAAUGCAUAGUCGACCGAAAGUUUAAUUUGUCAGGAUUGUGAUUCUCGUUCAAUACCAUGGAAAUGAUAGUAUCUGAUGAGAGAUAUCUCAUGUUUCCUUGUGAGAUAUAAGAGACGUAAGAAGCUAUCAGCUGAAAGAUGCUACACAAUCAAGAGCACCUCAUCCACCUCCCACCCAAGUCUCAUUAUAUAAAACCCUAGUUUUUACAUUUUCACUCCAUUUUGAAUUUUGAUGCUUCGAUUUUGCUAGCUAAAGCAAAUGUCGAGUUUAUGGAUACAAAUCCUGUUUGAAGGCUUGAAAGUGCAAAUAUGCUCAAUUUGGCUGGUCUAAUUUGAUAUCGAUUACUGUAAUUCUACUGAAUACUUCUUGAACUUAUUUCUAGACUUGUGUUCAUUAAA